rnacentral:rRNA from 1 species
AUUGAACGCUGGCGGCAGGCCUAACACAUGCAAGUCGAGCGGAUGAAGGGAGCUUGCGCCUGGAUUCAGCGGCGGACGGGUGAGUAAUGCCUAGGAAUCUGCCUGGUAGGGGGGGAGAACGUUCGGAAACGGGCGCUAAUACUGCAUACGUCCUGAUGGAGAAAGAGGGGGAGCUUCGGACAUCACGCUAUGAGAUGAGCCUAGGUCGGUUUAGCUAGUUGGUGGGGUAAAGGCCUACCAAGGCGACGAUCCGUAACUAGUCUGAGAGGAUGAUCAGUCACCCUGGAGCUGAGCCACCGUCCAGGCUCCUGCGGUAGGCCGCAGUCGGGAAUAUUGGGCAACGGGCGAAAGCCUGGUCCAACCAUGCCGAGCGUGUGGAGGAAGUCUUCCGAUUGUAAAGCACUUUAAGUUGUGAGGAAGGGCAGUAAGUUAAUACCUUGCUGUUUUGACGUUACCAGCAGAAUAAGCACCGGCUAACUUCGUG